rnacentral:rRNA from 1 species
UACGAAGGGGGCUAGCGUUGUUCGGAUUUACUGGGCGUAAAGCGCACGUAGGCGGAUCGAUCAGUCAGGGGGUGAAAUCCCCAGAGCUCAACUCUGGAACUGCCUUUUGAUACUGUCGAUCUGGAGUAUGGAAGAGGUGAGUGGAAUUCCGAGUGUAGAGGUGAAAUUCGUAGAUAUUCGGAGGAACACCAGUGGCGAAGGCGGCUCACUGGUCCAUUACUGACGCUGAGGGUGCGAAAAGCGUGGGGGAGCAAACAGG